GAGGGUAUAGCUCAAAUGGAAGAGCGUAUGCUUAGCAUGCAUGAGGUCCUGGGUUCAAUCCCCAGUACCUCCA
rnacentral:tRNA from 1 species